rnacentral:lncRNA from 1 species
UUCGGUAGGUUUCGGUUGUGUAAUCCGGAAGGAUGAUGGGAGUUUUGUGGCUGCUAGAGCAGGCUCUUUUUAUAGCCAGAUGGAUGCAAAGUGUGCUGAAGCUAUAGCAUUCCGGGAAGCAUUGAGUUGGAUUAAAGAGUGUGGAUGGGAUCGAGUUCUUUUCGAAUUGGAUGCUCAGGUACUUGUGAUGUCAGUUAAUUGUGUUUUGUUAGAUGAUUUAUCGUCUUUUGGCCUUUUGGUUCAAGAUUGUAAACUGCUUCUAUCUAGUUAUGAGGAAGCAAAAUGUGUUUUUGUUCAUAGAUCUGCGAAUGAUGUCGCUCAUGUUCUAGCAACAUCGGCUCAUUCUGAGUCAGGUCAAGGAGUUUGGAUUGAUAUCCCUCCUUCUCAUAUUAUUUUUUUGUUCUCUUUGAAUUAAUGAAGUUUUCUUGUUAUUUCAAAAAAAAAAAAUAAUAAUAAUUUUUAAUAAAAUAAUUUAUUAAAUAGUGAUAGAUAAAGUGGGCAAAAGGAAUAUUUUGAGUGUAAUCCUCCCUCCAUUUCCGCAAAUUAUAAUAAACUUUCUCAUAAUUAUCCAUGGUUUAGGGUUUAAAGCACAUCAUUCUCUUCUUGAAUGUUUAUAACAUUUUUUUAAAUAAUAUUAUUAUAAUAUAAUCUUUCUUUAUUUAUUUACACUUCCAACUUCUAACCCACUUGAGUUCACUAGUCUUUAUUUUUUUUUUUGUUGGACUUUGGGCCUCAUGCUUAGAUUUAAUUGCUGUCUGCUUAAUGCAUUCUAAUUUACCUUCUUUUUUUAAAAUUUAAAAAAAAAAAGGCAUUGUGGAAAGAUAAAACUUGGAAAUAAUCCUAACACCUUUGGAAAAAAAAAAAAACGCCUGCAAAGCAUGAACUAAACAAGACUUAAAACUCAAGACCUUAUAAUUCUGAAAACAAUUUCAUUACGAUUAAACUAUGACUUACCCAUUAAGGGCAACAUAAAAGGUCCUCUAUUCAAGGGGUGCCCGGAGGUGCGUCUUGAUUGUUAUCAUAACCACCGAAAGCUUGCCUUGGAAUGUUGUGAUGGUUAUUUAUUAAUUCAGGCUCACCACCCACAUCUGAAUUCUUCUUCACCUCCGAGUUAUUAUCAUUUUGCUUGAUUUCCAUCACAGACGCCGACUUCUCACCUCCAUUCAUCAUCAUCCUCCUGUUGAUGGCAAAACUGAAGUUGGCCAUGACAAGAAGAAACAGGAAGGCGGCUAAGAACCUCAUGGAGAAAUUUUUUUAAUGGAGUUGGCCUUUCUUGAAGGCAGCUAGAAGAAGAUGUGGGGAUUCUUAUAGAAGAAAGAAAAAAUCUGAUCGUGGAGUUUGCUGUAAGGUCUAGAUAGAUUAGUGGAGUAAUGGGCAAGAAGUAAUGGUGCAACUCCACGUAUUAAUUUGUGAAUAGUAAAAGAGCA